rnacentral:rRNA from 1 species
GACGAACGCUGGCGGCGUGCUUAACACAUGCAAGUCGAACGGAAAGGCCCUGCUUUUGUGGGGUGCUCGAGUGGCGAACGGGUGAGUAACACGUGAGUAACCUGCCCUUGACUUUGGGAUAACUUCAGGAAACUGGGGCUAAUACCGGAUAGGAGCCCCUGCUGCAGGGGGGGGUUGGAAAGUUUUCGGCGGUUGGGGAUGGACUCGCGGUUUAUCAGCUUGUUGGUGGGGUAGUGGCUUCCAAAGGCUUUGACGGGUAGCCGGCCUGAGAGGGUGACCGGCCACAUUGGGACUGAGAUACGGCCCAGACUCCUACGGGAGGCAGCAGUGGGGAAUAUUGCACAAUGGGCGGAAGCCUGAUGCAGCAACGCCGCGUGCGGGAUGACGGCCUUCGGGUUGUAAACCGCUUUCGCCUGUGACGAAGCGUGAGUGACGGUAAUGGGUAAAGAAGCACCGGCUAACUACGUG